rnacentral:lncRNA from 1 species
UCCACAGCCAUUCAUGAGGAAUGCCUUAAAGCCAUGUUUAUUUGACAGGAGACCGUGUGGCUAUUGUGGCCAGAAAUUUGCAUGUGAGAACCUUGGAGGACUUUGGGGAAGAUCCGGUUGUACAAGGACUCAGAGAAGCAGUUGGUGUUCUCUUGAGAAAUGAAACACAGGAACCAGAUGGCCUUGGGCCCGAAGAUGAAACGACUUCCAGUAAGCAGCACGCUUCAGUGAUCUCAUUUCAAUGCUUGAUAAAAUGGUCAUGUCCUGCUAAUAAAUGGCUGUGUUUGUGCCUUUUAAA